rnacentral:pre_miRNA from 13 species
UUAAAAUUGAAUGGCGAAUGUCGGUAUGGUCUCUUUUUCAAAGAAGGUUUCGAUCGAGCGAAGUGACUAGACCGAACACUCGUGCUAUAAUUUUAAAAU